AACGCGAAGAACCUUACCAGGACUUGACAUGGGGAGGCCGCGGCCAGAGAUGGCCGUUUCCCGCAAGGGACCUCCCGCACAGGUGCUGCAUGGCUGUCGUCAGCUCGUGUCGUGAGAUGUUGGGUUAAGUCCCGCAACGAGCGCAACCCUCGCCUUUAGUUGCCAUCAGGUUUGGCUGGGCACUCUAAAGGAACUGCCGGUGACAAGCCGGAGGAAGGUGGGGAUGACGUCAAGUCCUCAUGGCCCUUAUGUCCUGGGCUACACACGUGCUACAAUGGCGGUGACAGUGGGAAGCUAGGUCGCGAGGCCGUGCUGAUCUCAAAAAGCCGUCUCAGUUCAGAUUGCACUCUGCAACUCGGGUGCAUGAAGGUGGAAUCGCUAGUAAUCGUGGAUCAGCAUGCCACGGUGAAUACGUUCCCGGGCCUUGUACACGACCGAGACGAC
rnacentral:rRNA from 1 species